rnacentral:rRNA from 1 species
AGCGUUAUCCGGAUUUACUGGGCGUAAAGGGUGCGUAGGCGGUCUUUCAAGUCAGGAGUGAAAGGCUACGGCUCAACCGUAGUAAGCUCUUGAAACUGGGAGACUUGAGUGCAGGAGAGGAGAGUGGAAUUCCUAGUGUAGCGGUGAAAUGCGUAGAUAUUAGGAGGAACACCAGUUGCGAAGGCGGCUCUCUGGACUGUAACUG